rnacentral:rRNA from 1 species
CCCUGCUUUUGUGGGGUGCUCGAGUGGCGAACGGGUGAGUAACACGUGAGUAACCUGCCCUUGACUUUGGGAUAACUUCAGGAAACUGGGGCUAAUACCGGAUAGGAGCUCCUGCUGCAUGGUGGGGGUUGGAAAGUUUCGGCGGUUGGGGAUGGACUCGCGGCUUAUCAGCUUGUUGGUGGGGUAGUGGCUUACCAAGGCUUUGACGGGUAGCCGGCCUGAGAGGGUGACCGGCCACAUUGGGACUGAGAUACGGCCCAGACUCCUACGGGAGGCAGCAGUGGGGAAUAUUGCACAAUGGGCGGAAGCCUGAUGCAGCAACGCCGCGUGCGGGAUGACGGCCUUCGGGUUGUAAACCGCUUUCGCCUGUGACGAAGCGUGAGUGACGGUAAUGGGUAAAGAAGCACCGGCUAACUACGUGCCAGCAGCCGCGGUGAUACGUAGGGUGCGAGCGUUGUCCGGAUUUAUUGGGCGUAAAGGGCUCGUAGGUGGUUGAUCGCGUCGGAAGUGUAAUCUUGGGGCUUAACCCUGAGCGUGCUUUCGAUACGGGUUGACUUGAGGAAGGUAGGGGAGAAUGGAAUUCCUGGUGGAGCGGUGGAAUGCGCAGAUAUCAGGAGGAACACCAGUGGCGAAGGCGGUUCUCUGGGCCUUUCCUGACGCUGAGGAGCGAAAGCGUGGGGAGCGAACAGGCUUAGAUACCCUGGUAGUCCACGCUGUAAACGGUGGGUACUAGGUGUGGGGUCCAUUCCACGGGUUCCGUGCCGUAGCUAACGCUUUAAGUACCCCGCCUGGGGAGUACGGCCGCAAGGCUAAAACUCAAAGGAAUUGACGGGGCCCCGCACAAGCGGCGGAGCAUGCGGAUUAAUUCGAUGCAACGCGUAGAACCUUACCUGGGUUUGACAUGGAUCGGGAGUGCUCAGAGAUGGGUGUGCCUCUUUUGGGGUCGGUUCACAGGUGGUGCAUGGCUGUCGUCAGCUCGUGUCGUGAGAUGUUGGGUUAAGUCCCGCAACGAGCGCAACCCUUGUUCACUGUUGCCAGCACGUUAUGGUGGGGACUCAGUGGAGACCGCCGGGGUCAAC